GAAGGCUGACGAAGUUUUGAUUGGCUGUGGCAGAGCAGGAAAAAGAGGAGGCGGGGUUCGCACCAGUGUGUGUGAGAGGAGACACGCUGUGGAGAGUGGAGCUGCCGCUGAGGAGACCGCUGUGAGGAGACACUCUGUGGAGAGCGGAGCCGCUGCUGAGGAGACCACUGUGAGGAGACACUGUGAGAGUCGCCAGCCGCAGCAGUGACACCAGUCUGCCCAGUACUGAGAGAAGCUGCUGGGAAAGGUCUCAGGUGAUAGAGGGGAGUGGUUGAGGCUGCUGAUAGCAGGAGCUGCUCACCGGGUUGCCAUGGUGACGGGUCACUGAUGACGUGCACGUGUAAUACGCAAUGACAUCAUCUAGCGCCACAGCCGCCGGACGGGUCUCGCCUGGUGGGCGCCAUUCACAGCACAAUGGUGGGGAUAUAAGACCCGAUAAAGGAGAAUCCAAUAAUAAGGCCCCGGUGGAAAAGACAUUGUAAAGAUGAAAAGUCUUCUAUGCAUGGGUCCAGUUUAUUGGCAGGUCACAGGAUCUAUGUUUGCAGUGACAAGAAGAAGGCAAUGAAAAUAGGGGGAAUUAGUUGAGAUGCAUACUGGGUGUCUUCUAUUGGUUUACAUAAAUUGUCUUAUAAACUUGAUCCUUUCCAUUGCUGUUGUUCCUAACCUCUAACAUCCCCAUCUCCUCUUCCCCUGCUCCCCUUCACAGUAACUGUGAUCAGACAUGGGUUCUACAGGGCAGAUUUGCCCAGCUUCUUCACAAUACAAGUGUAUAGUAAUGGACAAUUAGGUAUCCUCUUUUAGAGGUAAGGAGACUUCUAUUUAUCUGGACACCGAUUGACCAUUUGGAGUUAGGUUAAUGAAAACUGACUGCAGAAGAGAUGGAAGAAACAUUGGGGAAGUAAGAAUAAAGCUACAUCACUAUGUUUCCUUAAAUAUGUUAGAAAGCUGACAUCUCACAUGGAUUUAUCAUUAACUUUUCACAUAGCCCAGUUCAGUCAAACUGCCUCAUUCUACCACAUAUGACAAUCUAUUGUGGCAUUUC